GGGUUGUGAGGUUAAGCGACUAAGCGUACACGGUGGAUGCCCUGGCAGUCAGAGGCGAUGAAGGACGUGCUAAUCUGCGAUAAGCGUCGGUAAGGUGAUAUGAACCGUUAUAACCGGCGAUUUCCGAAUGGGGAAACCCAGUGUGUUUCGACACACUAUCAUUAACUGAAUCCAUAGGUUAAUGAGGCGAACCGGGGGAACUGAAACAUCUAAGUACCCCGAGGAAAAGAAAUCAACCGAGAUUCCCCCAGUAGCGGCGAGCGAACGGGGAGGAGCCCAGAGCCUGAAUCAGUGUGUGUGUUAGUGGAAGCGUCUGGAAAGGCGCGCGAUACAGGGUGACAGCCCCGUACACAAAAAUGCACAUACUGUGAGCUCGAUGAGUAGGGCGGGACACGUGGUAUCCUGUCUGAAUAUGGGGGGACCAUCCUCCAAGGCUAAAUACUCCUGACUGACCGAUAGUGAACCAGUACCGUGAGGGAAAGGCGAAAAGAACCCCGGCGAGGGGAGUGAAAAAGAACCUGAAACCGUGUACGUACAAGCAGUGGGAGCCUCUUUUAUGGGGUGACUGCGUACCUUUUGUAUAAUGGGUCAGCGACUUAUAUUCUGUAGCAAGGUUAACCGAAUAGGGGAGCCGAAGGGAAACCGAGUCUUAACUGGGCGUUAAGUUGCAGGGUAUAGACCCGAAACCCGGUGAUCUAGCCAUGGGCAGGUUGAAGGUUGGGUAACACUAACUGGAGGACCGAACCGACUAAUGUUGAAAAAUUAGCGGAUGACUUGUGGCUGGGGGUGAAAGGCCAAUCAAACCGGGAGAUAGCUGGUUCUCCCCGAAAGCUAUUUAGGUAGCGCCUCGUGAACUCAUCUCCGGGGGUAGAGCACUGUUUCGGCAAGGGGGUCAUCCCGACUUACCAACCCGAUGCAAACUGCGAAUACCGGAGAAUGUUAUCACGGGAGACACACGGCGGGUGCUAACGUCCGUCGUGAAGAGGGAAACAACCCAGACCGCCAGCUAAGGUCCCAAAGUCAUGGUUAAGUGGGAAACGAUGUGGGAAGGCCCAGACAGCCAGGAUGUUGGCUUAGAAGCAGCCAUCAUUUAAAGAAAGCGUAAUAGCUCACUGGUCGAGUCGGCCUGCGCGGAAGAUGUAACGGGGCUAAACCAUGCACCGAAGCUGCGGCAGCGACACUAUGUGUUGUUGGGUAGGGGAGCGUUCUGUAAGCCUGUGAAGGUGUACUGUGAGGUAUGCUGGAGGUAUCAGAAGUGCGAAUGCUGACAUAAGUAACGAUAAAGCGGGUGAAAAGCCCGCUCGCCGGAAGACCAAGGGUUCCUGUCCAACGUUAAUCGGGGCAGGGUGAGUCGACCCCUAAGGCGAGGCCGAAAGGCGUAGUCGAUGGGAAACAGGUUAAUAUUCCUGUACUUGGUGUUACUGCGAAGGGGGGACGGAGAAGGCUAUGUUGGCCGGGCGACGGUUGUCCCGGUUUAAGCGUGUAGGCUGGUUUUCCAGGCAAAUCCGGAAAAUCAAGGCUGAGGCGUGAUGACGAGGCACUACGGUGCUGAAGCAACAAAUGCCCUGCUUCCAGGAAAAGCCUCUAAGCAUCAGGUAACAUCAAAUCGUACCCCAAACCGACACAGGUGGUCAGGUAGAGAAUACCAAGGCGCUUGAGAGAACUCGGGUGAAGGAACUAGGCAAAAUGGUGCCGUAACUUCGGGAGAAGGCACGCUGAUAUGUAGGUGAAGUCCCUCGCGGAUGGAGCUGAAAUCAGUCGAAGAUACCAGCUGGCUGCAACUGUUUAUUAAAAACACAGCACUGUGCAAACACGAAAGUGGACGUAUACGGUGUGACGCCUGCCCGGUGCCGGAAGGUUAAUUGAUGGGGUCAGCGCAAGCGAAGCUCUUGAUCGAAGCCCCGGUAAACGGCGGCCGUAACUAUAACGGUCCUAAGGUAGCGAAAUUCCUUGUCGGGUAAGUUCCGACCUGCACGAAUGGCGUAAUGAUGGCCAGGCUGUCUCCACCCGAGACUCAGUGAAAUUGAACUCGCUGUGAAGAUGCAGUGUACCCGCGGCAAGACGGAAAGACCCCGUGAACCUUUACUAUAGCUUGACACUGAACAUUGAGCCUUGAUGUGUAGGAUAGGUGGGAGGCUUAGAAGUGUGGACGCCAGUCUGCAUGGAGCCGACCUUGAAAUACCACCCUUUAAUGUUUGAUGUUCUAACGUGGACCCGUGAUCCGGGUUGCGGACAGUGUCUGGUGGGUAGUUUGACUGGGGCGGUCUCCUCCUAAAGAGUAACGGAGGAGCACGAAGGUUGGCUAAUCCUGGUCGGACAUCAGGAGGUUAGUGCAAUGGCAUAAGCCAGCUUGACUGCGAGCGUGACGGCGCGAGCAGGUGCGAAAGCAGGUCAUAGUGAUCCGGUGGUUCUGAAUGGAAGGGCCAUCGCUCAACGGAUAAAAGGUACUCCGGGGAUAACAGGCUGAUACCGCCCAAGAGUUCAUAUCGACGGCGGUGUUUGGCACCUCGAUGUCGGCUCAUCACAUCCUGGGGCUGAAGUAGGUCCCAAGGGUAUGGCUGUUCGCCAUUUAAAGUGGUACGCGAGCUGGGUUUAGAACGUCGUGAGACAGUUCGGUCCCUAUCUGCCGUGGGCGCUGGAGAACUGAGGGGGGCUGCUCCUAGUACGAGAGGACCGGAGUGGACGCAUCACUGGUGUUCGGGUUGUCAUGCCAAUGGCACUGCCCGGUAGCUAAAUGCGGAAGAGAUAAGUGCUGAAAGCAUCUAAGCACGAAACUUGCCCCGAGAUGAGUUCUCCCUGACCCUUUAAGGGUCCUGAAGGAACGUUGAAGACGACGACGUUGAUAGGCCGGGUGUGUAAGCGCAGCGAUGCGUUGAGCUAACCGGUACUAAUGAACCGUGAGGCUUAACCUUACAACGCCGAAGCUGUU
rnacentral:rRNA from 1 species